UACAAGGCUGGAGUUUCCAUAUUGCUGCUGUAAUUUAACGUAUUCCGAGAGGCAUGAGCCAUGAACAUAGGUAGAACAUCAAGAAAUAUCAGAUCAUAAGCAAGAAAUUUGAAUGGAAGCUAAGCUCCAAUGCAUUGGAAUAAAAAAAAAGUUUUGAUAGAAGGAAAUCUGAUGAUUUUUAGCUGGUGCAUUGGUCAGAACUGCUCUGCACAUGGUGAAUUAUCACUGGAUUACAACUGACGCCGAACACAAAUGGAAUUCAGCCACGUUCCUACUUGAAACAGCAGGCCUGAGAAGACUUCCUAAAUAAAAGGUUGGGAAAGUGACUGUUGAUUGGUGGUGCUAGGGAAUUCUUCAGUAACACCAUGGGCAG